rnacentral:rRNA from 1 species
AUGAACGCUGGCGGCGUGCCUAAUACAUGCAAGUCGAGCGAACAGACGAGGAGCUUGCUCCUCUGACGUUAGCGGCGGACGGGUGAGUAACACGUGGAUAACCUACCUAUAAGACUGGGAUAACUUCGGGAAACCGGAGCUAAUACCGGAUAAUAUGUUGAAUCGCAUGGUUCAACAGUGAAAGACGGUCUUGCUGUCACUUAUAGAUGGAUCCGCGCCGCAUUAGCUAGUUGGUAAGGUAACGGCUUACCAAGGCAACGAUGCGUAGCCGACCUGAGAGGGUGAUCGGCCACACUGGAACUGAGACACGGUCCAGACUCCUACGGGAGGCAGCAGUAGGGAAUCUUCCGCAAUGGGCGAAAGCCUGACGGAGCAACGCCGCGUGAGUGAAGAAGGUCUUCGGAUCGUAAAACUCUGUUAUUAGGGAAGAACAAAUGUGUAAGUAACUAUGCACGUCUUGACGGUACCUAAUCAGAAAGCCACGGCUAACUACGUG